ACCCGAUCCCUGUGCAAGUGACUUGUCAUAGUGUUAAAGCAGGGAUGGGGAUUGUCCUGUGCCUGAUCACCCGUCCUGCUCCUGGUGGUCCUCAUCAUCUUGUGGAGGACCGGGUCUUCAGGUGGCCGUGGGAACCCGAGGGAGGCGGUCCUCAGGCAGCACUGCCUGUGUGGUCCUGGGGGCUGGUCAGCAGGUUCUGGAGUCUCUAGGCUGCUGGCUGAGGUCACCAGGAAGGGCUGCAUCAGGAGUGACAGAUGCAGGAAAAGAGGAGCCUCCUACCUACAGUACCCUCACUGAACUCAAUGUUGCCCCAGGUGCCUCUGUCCUCCAGGUUGCAAGCCAUUGGGCAAGACACAUGUCAAUCACCAGCAUCUGGUGAGAGGUGGGCCCAAGGUGCACACAGGAUGCUAUGGGAACAUGGGGUUUCUGGGUAAUCCCAGUGCCUGAAUUUCUCCCCUAUGGUCUUCAUAAACCAUUGAACUGUCCUUGGAAUCAUCAUAUUUUGGUGUCCAAAUGACACCUUCCCACAUUGACUUCACACUUGAAGGAGAAUAUAACUCAUCUGUUAGACUCUGGGCUUGUAUUUUGGUUUGGAAAAUGUGUCCCUGUAAUAGGUGAGCUUACAGUCAGUCCAGGUCAUUUUGGGAUUCAAGAUGUUGCUGAAUUUGACAACAAAGCCUGAUAAAUUACAGCUUAUUGUAAUAAACUGGAACCAGGACUUCCUCUGAGCUGAGAGAGCCAGGAACUCUUAGGACCUUCUGGGAAGAGUACAGAUUCUCACAUCAGCCUUGGGUUUGUAUUAUGACUUUUCCUUUCACUGUCUGUGUGCUGUUGAGCCUCUUAACUUCUCUGAACCUCAGUUUUCCACAUCUGUGAAAUGGGGGUAGCACUUUGCAAUUUUUAAUUGUGAGGAUUAAUUGAGUUAGUGUGGUACCCAGUAUAUAGCAGACAUUGUAUUUAUAACUUCAUUGUUAUGCCUCUAAUAGCACUAUGAACUCUUUCAAAGAAUCCUACUCUUCUAAAAAAAAAAAGUUGGAGAACAUGAAUCAUAUAGAUUCCAUAGGG
rnacentral:lncRNA from 1 species